GACGAACGCUGGCGGCGUGCUUAACACAUGCAAGUCGAACGGUAAGGCUCCAGCUUGCUGGGGUACACGAGUGGCGAACGGGUGAGUAACACGUGGGUGACCUGCCCUGCACUUCGGGAUAAGCCUGGGAAACUGGGUCUAAUACCGGAUAGGACCGCACCGUGAGGGUGUGGUGGAAAGUUUUUUCGGUGUGGGAUGGGCCCGCGGCCUAUCAGCUUGUUGGUGGGGUAAUGGCCUACCAAGGCGGCGACGGGUAGCCGGCCUGAGAGGGUGGACGGCCACAUUGGGACUGAGACACGGCCCAGACUCCUACGGGAGGCAGCAGUGGGGAAUAUUGCACAAUGGGCGGAAGCCUGAUGCAGCGACGCCGCGUGGGGGAUGACGGCCUUCGGGUUGUAAACUCCUUUCACCAUCGACGAAGGGUUUCUGACGGUAGAUGGAGAAGAAGCACCGGCUAACUACGUGCCAGCAGCCGCGGUAAUACGUAGGGUGCGAGCGUUGUCCGGAAUUACUGGGCGUAAAGAGCUCGUAGGUGGUUUGUCGCGUCGUCUGUGAAAUUCCGGGGCUUAACUCCGGGCGUGCAGGCGAUACGGGCAUAACUUGAGUACUGUAGGGGAGACUGGAAUUCCUGGUGUAGCGGUGAAAUGCGCAGAUAUCAGGAGGAACACCGGUGGCGAAGGCGGGUCUCUGGGCAGUAACUGACGCUGAGGAGCGAAAGCAUGGGGAGCGAACAGGAUUAGAUACCCUGGUAGUCCAUGCCGUAAACGGUGGGCGCUAGGUGUGGGUUUCCUUCCACGGGAUCCGUGCCGUAGCUAACGCAUUAAGCGCCCCGCCUGGGGAGUACGGCCGCAAGGCUAAAACUCAAAGGAAUUGACGGGGGCCCGCACAAGCGGCGGAGCAUGUGGAUUAAUUCGAUGCAACGCGAAGAACCUUACCUGGGCUUGACAUAUACAGGAUCGCGCCAGAGAUGGUGUUUCCCUUGUGGCUUGUAUACAGGUGGUGCAUGGUUGUCGUCAGCUCGUGUCGUGAGAUGUUGGGUUAAGUCCCGCAACGAGCGCAACCCUUGUCUUAUGUUGCCAGCACGUUGUGGUGGGGACUCGUAAGAAACUGCCGGGGUUAACUCGGAGGAAGGUGGGGAUGACGUCAAAUCAUCAUGCCCCUUAUGUCCAGGGCUUCACACAUGCUACAAUGGUCGGUACAGUGGGUUGCCAGUCCGUGAGGGCGAGCUAAUCCCGCAAAGCCGGUCUCAGCUCGGAUCGGGGUCUGCAACUCGACCCCGUGAAGUCGGAGUCGCUAGUAAUCGCAGAUCAGCAACGCUGCGGUGAAUACGUUCCCGGGCCU
rnacentral:rRNA from 1 species